ACAGUCACCACCUCCUUCACUCUGUCACUGUGUCACCCGCUCCCUCACUCUGUCACUAGUCACCCCCUCACUCUAGUGACAAUGAGGGAGGGGGUGACUAGUGACAGAGUGAGGGAGGGAAGUGGUGACUAGUGACAGAGUUAGGGAGGGAAGGGGUGACUAGUGUCAAAGUGAGGAAGGGAUGACUAGUGACAGAGGGAGGGGUGACUAGGGACAGAGUGAGGGAGGUGGUGACUAGUGACAGUCACCACCUCCCUCACUCUGUCACUAGUCACCACCUCCCUCACUCUGUCACUGGUCACCCACUCCCUCUGUCACUGGUCACCCACUCCCUCCCUCACUCUGUCACCAGUCACCCCUUCCUUCCCUCUGUCACCAGUCACCCCCUCACUCUGUCACCCCCUCACUUUG